UAAUGAUGGUAAAAGAAGUUGGAAAUAUAUUUCUUGUACACUUUUAAAAUGCAAAUAUUUGAAGACUAGGUUGUACUAGUUCAGAGUAUAACAUGAUCUGCUAUAGCGAAUUUGUAUGAUGGAGUGAUCUGAGUUAUAGCCGAGCCUGAGCCGUUGAUUUAGAGACUAGAACUGGAGCUGAUGAUUUAGAGGUCACUUGGAGUCUAAAUAGCUGAAGAUUUAUCUAGAAAAAAAAAAAAAAAAACUCAAAAGAAUUAGUUGAUAUUUUAAGGGCCCGAAGGAAAGCGUGCGGCGGAUAGAAUAGGAAAAGAAGUUAAUUUCUUUUGAGGCUGUAUUCUGUAAUGCUAAGUUGGAUAAAUUUUUAUGUUGAAGAGAAUAUAAACAAUGUUUAUAAUCUGCUGAUUAAUGAAAAAGUAAAGUUUGAAGUUUUAAUAUUGAAUAAUGUGCAGCAGAAUCUUUCAAAGUCAGGAGGGGGAGGUUUGCUGCGAGAGCCUGAGAAUGAUUCUGAUAUUCCUAUUGAAUGUCGAGAUGUCUACAAAUCUUUCGGGGAUAAACAUAUCUUGAGCUUGUUACACAAACCUUGGCAGCUGUUGGUUUGAACUUUGAAGAUAUGCUAGAAGAAAGGAAAAGCUCGUCUUAUAUUCAACUACCUAGCUUGAAAGCAUCAACAAAGAGACCCAAACAAACACCAGCUUUCCAGAAAUUCAUAAACACAACAAAAGACUGCAACUUCUUCCCAGAAGAAGAAGAAGACGGCUUCUUCUUGUACGUAAGCAUACCGAUUCCUUCGAUCGCGGCCACGACGAUGCCUGCGACAAGCACGUCCUAGUCACCGGUUUGGCCGAGAAUGGUGGCUAAUGCAUUAGCAGUCUAGAAACCAAGAAGCAGUAAGAAUAUCUUCAUGGGGAAGUUCUUUCUAGCAGAGUUUAUCUUCAAAAGAAGCUGUCUGCCUAAGGCAAUCGCUAUUCUGCCUAAUCUAGUGCUACCUAGACCUGUUCUGUCUUCAUUAAUCUCUUGUCGUUCUCCUCCUCCUCCAGGAACAGAAGAAGAAGAUCCUGUGUCUAACGCAAACGCUAUUCUCUGGUUUCGUCUUCUUCGAAUCUGGAAACUAGAAUUGAAGACAAAAUUAUCAAAUACCA